GAAAACACUCGCCAAUGUCACCGUGCUCAACAAAGGAGCGCGCGCUCGCGCACGCACAAGCGGUCCCACCGGGACGCAUCGCGCUUCCGCUAUAUCGACUCCAGGGAAACAAGCUCAGGCCGGGUCCCAAACUAACCCCACACUUUAAGAGGGUAAAAAUCGGCCCCUGGUUCAAACCCAAAUCCCCCACCUCGUGUAAACCGGGACCAGUCAGAACGCUUUAUGGUUCUUCCAGAAGUUUAGUGCUUUUGAUGCAUUUUGUUGCGUUUCAUGACUGUAAAACUCAAGAGGGCAGAGUGAAGAGAGACGGUUCGUUUGAAAGCGAGAGGGAGGUAUGAAAGCUCACGGUCCGAUCCAAAAGGAACAUUUCUCAGCACCGCGACAGAACCGCAGACGGUCAGCCAAGCCAACACUCACCCACCCUCUCCGAACCCCCCCUCCGCUCUCUCUCUCUCUCUCACACACACACACACACACACACACACACACACACACACACACACACACACACACUUUUACUUAGCUAUCUAAAUGAGGACGUACCAUAGACAUCUGUUGUUUUAUAUAGUUCUAAGAAGGUUUCGCUAAUGUUCCCAUUAACAUUCCCAUUUCUAAAUGUUCUCUGGAUGUUCAAAACGUCCAGUUUUUACAAUGAUUUAAAAAAUUUUUUUUCUUAUUUAUGUGAACUUUAGGGAAAACAUCAAGGAAACAUCUCAUUUUAUAUUUUUGUAUUUAAUAAGUAUGUAAUAACGUUUAAAAGUAAACUAAAGAUUUCAGAAAACAUUUCAGAAAAAAGGUUUCAUGAAUGAUGUAUAAAUUACGUUUUGCAAACGUUGUUAAUGUUACUGGAAGAACGUUGAGAGAACCUUGCCAGAACGUUAGAGUUCUGAGAACAUUCCCUGUUAGCUGCGAACAAAAUCCUACCCUGCUGAAUGAAUAAAUAAAUAAAUAAAUAAAUAAAUAAACCAGCCUAAGACAGUUUGCUGGUUUCCCAGUCUGAUUAACUGAAAACCUCUUUAAAUCCAGCCUGAUUAUGCUUAAUUAAGGAUGUAUUUAACUAACUUCUGGGGACGUUUAGGAACUCAAAAUGUAACUAAGUAAACCCACGCACAAACUCAAACACAACAGUCAUGUGCAUGUGUGUGAGCUGGAAGACAGUUAUUAAUAGUGGGACAUGAGGGUCAGUAGUUAGUCAGUGAUUUGAACUUGCAGGUCAUCCCUUUGGUCCCCUCCACCCAUCAUAACACACACACAUUGACUUUCUCAUCUAAAUGCAUUCAUGUUUGCUUCUUGUUCAACCUCUCCCACCUCAUGAAGUAUGUGCCAUUGGAAAGAAAGUUGUUUUUCAGAGGAAGAGAGAGGAAAGGAGGGACGGAGAGGAGGAAAGAAGAGGCAGAUAAGAACCAUUAUUAAUUCACCUGACAUUUAGAUACCAUUUCCCUCCGGUCUUCUCAACGUCCGUCACCUCCAACAUCCGGUUUCCUAUUGUGUUCUGUGCUGUGCUUCCACUAGAGGGCGUCUUUAGGAUCUCUGCCCUCAUUCCCUCAUAUCAGGUUGUGCAGGGGACGGCAGGUGAUUUCAGCUCAUCAGGUUCGGGUACUAAUAAUGUAAUAAAAACAUUACUGGACUGGAGGCCCCGAUGUACUCAGACUCAAGAGAAACAUCUUGUUGGUGUCUACUAAGCUAUGAAAGAGCAACUUUUGAGCAAUAGCACCUUCCUCCGGGAAAUCACCAAUGUAUACAGCAUGUACAGCACAUUGACUUUGGGUUGAAGAUGGCAUAUGUAGAUCAGUUGGUUCAAAUCAACCAAGGACCAGCAUGUCUGGACAUCGAUGUGAAUCUGACAGAAGCAGUGUGUCCUCUCAGGUAGUGACUUACGUCUGCUGCCAGGCUCAAUGAAUGUCAGCUAUGAGUUUAAUUCACAAAGCUCCGUUAGCAAGUGCUAACGUCUUUUUGCUGCAAAUACCAGCAACUGGAGUAAAUUUAUUCCUGAAGUUCCUGGCGCAGAGACCCAACAUUCCCCAGCAAACACAAGAGUUCUAAUGUUUGCCGUUGGCUUCAGAAAAUGGAGUGACAAGCCAAAUGAACUUGUCUAAAUGGAGGAGAACACAGCGAACCCUGCCAACAAUUACUAACAGGUAUGGCACUGCGGCCCAGGAGCGCUGCAGUUGUUGGUGUUUGUUGGAGGGAUUCUGGGGUCAGUGCGCAGGGGGCGGCAGGGCCCAGAUCCUGGAACUCUGUCAGCGUUCUCCUCGACUCGCAGGAAAAGCACAGGCGGAGAUGGUUAACAGAAACAGCAAACUUACAUCAUCGUCUUGCCCUGCCACAGCUGAAAUGGAAGCAUUUGUCCUUUGCUUGAAUGGAGCUGGAAAAGAAAGUCAUGUUUCGUGCAAUUGCUUCUUUCCCUAAGUUGCAUUCGGGAAGGAGAUCAUCAUAUCCUGGAGGUCGUAUGUACCAAAUGAAUCCUCUUUUUUAAAACUUAUUCUAUGAAAUCAAAAUUGACAAUUCUUGUUUUGUUUUUUAAAAUGGAAUAUUGCUGUAUUUAUUAUAAAUGAUUCAUCCACGCACAUCAUUAUUUUUUCAAAUUCAUGUGCCUCAUAAUCUAGAAUCAUAAUAACUUCCACUUCCACUUGCAGCGAAAUCUCUUCUCUGAUGAUGUGUUUACUGGCGCAAGGGCGUGGCAACCUGUCUGAAAUCGACCAAUAGCAAACCACAACCACCAAAUCAAUUCCCUAUUGACAGAAUCAAGUCCCGCCCUACAUUUUUUCUUCAUCGAGAAGCUGUUUCACUUGGAUAUACGUCACAAUAGGGAGAAAAAGACUAUCGCAACUUCUGUUUCAUGCUGACUUUAAGCAUUUUGCCAUUUCAUUGAUAACGGCCUCAGGAAAUGACACAAGCAGAAGCGAAGCAUCCAUUGUAAUGUGUUAUAUUCACCCCUCACGUUUUGGAAAAGAAUCAUUAUAAUUUAAGGAUUUUGAUUCGCUUGAUCGUGGUUCAAAGACAACUUUUUUUUUUUUUUUUUGCAAUAGAGUGCAUAAAAUGUCCCUAUUGCUUAAAAGAUAUCAGAGAAAUAGGUGUUGUGAGAAAUCAAACCCAUCUCUGUGAUAGCACUGGACUCUAAACAGCAAGAAACACCUGGCAUUAAGAUGCAUUUUCAGUUAUCGGAUCACGAUCGGAUCACACGUUUCCCCAUUAAAAUGUUGAUGUAAAUGCACCUAAUCAUUGUGAUCUGGGACGGGUUUCACCAGCUAUUCUAAGUUCUUAUCUAAAUUGGAACAUAAAGUUGUCACUAGAAGCUUAGUAACUUAUUAUGUACUUUAUUAGAGCCUGAGCACCGAUGGUGCGAGGACCCUAUUGUAAUUGCUCAGUCAAUUAUUAUUCUUCUCCAAAAUGAUCAAUAUGCCAUGAAGUACCAAACAUACUAGAAACACGU